rnacentral:misc_RNA from 1 species
GAUGAAGAACGUAGCGAAAUGCGAUACGUAAUGUGAAUUGCAGAAUUCAGUGAAUCAUCGAAUCUUUGAACGCGUAUUGCGCUCUCUGGUAUUCCGGAGAGCAUGCUUGUUUGAGUAUCAGUAAACACCUCAACUCCCUUUUCUUUUUUGAAAUUGGAGCUGGACUUGAGUGAUCCCAACGCUUUCUUCCAAGAAAGUGGCGGGUUGCUUGAAAUGCAGGUGCAGCUGAACUUUUCUCUGAGCUAUAAGCAUAUCUAUUUAGUCUGCCUAAAAAACAGAUUAUUACCUUUGCUGCAGCUAACAUAAAGGAGACUAGUUCUUGUGCUGACUGAUGCAGGAUUCACAGAGACAGCUUCGGCUGACUUUGUAAACUCGAUCUCAAAUCAAGUAAGACUACCCGCUGAACUUAAGCAUAUCAAUAAGCGGAGGA